CAACUUAUAUGAAUUCCCUCCUCGUUUUUUCCCCCAAAAUUUUAAAUCAUUUACCCAAAAUUUUAGAAUACCGCCAACUCUUUCUCUCAGUCCUUCAAGAACAUUAGAAUUUUAAAAAAAAUAAAAAAUUCAGGAAAACGAAAUUAAGAAAAAAACAUACCCAAUUCCCCCCCACAAUUUUAUUAGUUCUUCACUCUCAACUCUCUCAAAAGAACAGGAAGUAAAGAAUUUGAAGGCAAGCGACUUAGGAAAGAAGGUGGCAAAGGAGGGAGACGGAUCGAACAUCACUCAAAUGGUAUUCUAGGUCUCCAUCACCUAUGAAACAAAGAUCUACGUCUCACUCUAGGUCCAUAUCUAUGUCUCCUCCUAGAUAACGGUCCCAUUCAUGUCCUAGGUCAAGGUUUGCGAGCCGUGGAAGGUUAGUUUGAAGCUUAAAAGGCACAUUUGUUGUUCACUUUCUGCUUGACUGCUAACUCUUUAUACUAGCAGGAUUGAGAUCCUCUAGAGUCACUCACAGAGAACUUCAGGAUUUGUUUUCCAAGUAGGGAAAGCAUUUCCUAUGUGUAAAGGCUAGAGAUGUGGGGGAUUAUUUGGCACUGCCAAUGCUCCAAGAUAUUAAACAUUUUCCCCUUAGCUCUGUUUCUUAUUUCACUGCCAAGCAAGAAUCAAGAUAAUUCAUGUUAUUUUUUUCUUCCCUUUUGUUAUCCUUUUUAUCUGUAUUUCUAUCGUACAUGAACACAUUCUUGUUUUGAUCUGUCACAUAAUCUUAAAUCGUGAUUAUAUAUAUAA